UACAGGGGGUGCGAGCGUUGUUCGGAAUUAUUGGGCGUAAAGCGCGUGUAGGCGGGCCAUUAAGUCUGGUGUGAAAACCCUCGGCUCAACCGAGGACGUGCAUUGGAUACUGGUGGCCUUGAGUCCUGGAGAGGGUAGCGGAAUUCCCAGUGUAGAGGUGAAAUUCGUAGAUAUUGGGAGGAACACCGGUGGCGAAGGCGGCUACCUGGACAGUGACUGACGCUGAGUCGCGAAAGCAUGGGUAGCAAACAGG
rnacentral:rRNA from 1 species